rnacentral:rRNA from 1 species
AGACCCGAAACCCGGUGAUCUAGCCAUGGGCAGGUUGAAGGUUGGGUAACACUAACUGGAGGACCGAACCGACUAAUGUUGAAAAAUUAGCGGAUGACCUGUGGCUGGGGGUGAAAGGCCAAUCAAACCGGGAGAUAGCUGGUUCUCCCCGAAAGCUAUUUAGGUAGCGCCUCGUGAAUUCAUCUCCGGGGGUAGAGCACUGUUUCGGCUAGGGGGCCAUCCCGGCUUACCAACCCGAUGCAAACUGCGAAUACCGGAGAAUGUUAUCACGGGAGACACACGGCGGGUGCUAACGUCCGUCGUGAAGAGGGAAACAACCCAGACCGCCAGCUAAGGUCCCAAAGUCAUGGUUAAGUGGGAAACGAUGUGGGAAGGCCCAGACAGCCAGGAUGUUGGCUUAGAAGCAGCCAUCAUUUAAAGAAAGCGUAAUAGCUCACUGGUCGAGUCGGCCUGCGCGGAAGAUGUAACGGGGCUAAACCAUGCACCGAAGCUGCGGCAGCGACACUCAGGUGUUGUUGGGUAGGGGAGCGUUCUGUAAGCCUGUGAAGGUGUGUCGUGAGGCAUGCUGGAGGUAUCAGAAGUGCGAAUGCUGACAUAAGUAACGAUAAAGCGGGUGAAAAGCCCGCUCGCCGGAAGACCAAGGGUUCCUGUCCAACGUUAAUCGGGGCAGGGUGAGUCGACCCCUAAGGCGAGGCCGAAAGGCGUAGUCGAUGGGAAACGGGUUAAUAUUCCCGUACU